rnacentral:rRNA from 1 species
AUUGAACGCUGGCGGCAUGCCUAACACAUGCAAGUCGAACGGAGGUAGGGGCAACUCUACUUCAGUGGCGGACGGGUGAGGAAUGCGUCGGAAUCUACCCUAUGGUGGGGGAUAACACAGGGAAACUUGUGCUAAUACCGCAUGAUGUCGAGAGACCAAAGCAGGGGACCGCAAGGCCUUGCGCGAUAGGAUGAGCCGACGCCCGAUUAGCUAGUUGGUAGGGUAAUGGCCUACCAAGGCGACGAUCGGUAGCUGGUCUGAGAGGAUGAUCAGCCACACUGGGACUGAGACACGGCCCAGACUCCUACGGGAGGCAGCAGUGGGGAAUAUUGGACAAUGGGCGCAAGCCUGAUCCAGCAAUGCCGCGUGUGUGAAGAAGGCCUGCGGGUUGUAAAGCACUUUUGUUCGGGAAGAAAACGGAUCGGUUAAUACCCGGUUCGGAUGACGGUACCGAAAGAAUAAGCACCGGCUAACUUCGUG